GUGGUAAUGAGAAGUCCUCUAGGUGGGCAGAACUUGAAGUAAUACACUUAAUCCUCUAAUUUGGAUGGAAAUAAGCAUGCAAAUGUGGGCAAUGACAAAUGGCUUGCAAGGUAACACGAAGGCCUAGAAAGGAGAUUAGAAGGUUGAGGACAAGGAGAUCUACUUCAAUGACGUCAUCAGAAACAGCCCAGAUCCAGGAAGCUAUGAGAAUGCCCUCUGAUGUCUACAGAUGGUGAGUCAACAAAAUCAAGAACCUGAACCAGCCCACCAACAACAAUGAAAAGUCAGCAGUUUGCAACCUGGAAGAGGGUCCUCACCAGAACCUGACCAGGCUGGCACACUCAUC
rnacentral:lncRNA from 1 species